ACUUUAAUAGGAUAGAAGCUAAUCCAUUGGUCUUAGGAGCCAAAAACUUUGGUGCAAAUCCAAAUAAAAGUA
rnacentral:tRNA from 1 species